rnacentral:ncRNA from 1 species
CCCGCUGAAUUUAAGCAUAUUACAAGGCGGAGGAGAAGAAAAUAACAAUGAUUCCCCUAGUAACGGCGACUGAAGCGGGAAGAGCUCAAAGUGAAAAUCGUGAGUCCCCUUUUGGCCUCAUGAAUUUUAGCCUCUAGAGGCGUUGCCGGUGGGCUGGCAGGUCUCAGUCUCUUGGAAUAGGACAUCAGAGAGGGUGACAGUCCCUUCCUUUGUCCUGCUUGUUGUUGCCUACGUACGGCGCGCUUUUAUUGAGUCGCGUUCAUUGGGAUUUGAGCGCAAAAUGUGUGAUACGUUUCACAUAAUGCUAAAUAUUGGCGUGAUACCGAUAGCGAAUAAGUACUGUGAAGGAAAGAUGAGAAGGACUUUGGAAAGAGGGUUAGAAGUGUCUGAAAUUGCUGUAAGGGAGGCGAUUGAAACUGUUUUCAGGGUGCCGGUGGGUAUUAGUUGUACUCCCUCUAGAUCUCCGUUAAAGCGGUUUUGAGGGUCACUUCUGUUGACCAUUUUGAUCCUAGAAGGUUGGUUAGCAUCAGUGGCUACCUGACUAAAGGAAGGUAGGUCCGUCGUGGACAGUUAUAUCCUUGGGUUUGGCGUUCAGGGGGCUUCUGAGGUGCGUUUACCGCGUUCGUCGGCUACACUUUCGAGUACUGACGUUCUGCGAUGCGGUCCUUAACGGUUUCAACUGACCCGUCUUGAAACACGG